rnacentral:lncRNA from 1 species
UUGAAUCCUAUAAUUUAAAGCUUGGGUCAUUAUGUCAUCUAAUUCUUAGGUCUGAUUUCUGCGAAAUUAGGAGUUUCGAAUUUCCGGAAUAUUGUCUUGAUUCCAUUCUUCUGGGCUUGGUUAUUGUGGUUUUGGGUUUGGUUUGUUUGAUUUUUGAUUGUGGAAUUUGAGAAUAAGGGUUUGAUUUUUGCUUCAUUGUUUAUGGCUUGGCCAUCUAACUAUAGACUUCUUUAUUUGAGUUGUUAG